AACAUCACUAACCCCACUAGUGAAGAAUAAAGCCUGAUUUUCUGGAAAGAUGGUCUCCUUGGUGAGGGACACAGAAUGGGCAAAUCCCUUGAUGCCUUCGAUGGAUGAGUUAAGGGCAUCACGGAUAGUUUCAUCAACCUAGUAUACAAGCUC